AUCCCAUACCAAGCGCCAUGUGCCUGCCCUUCCGGCAGGAUAACGAGGAGGAGAGAGGAUCGAACCUUCGGCGGGAGCUCUCCCGCGCCGUCCGGGCGCGCACGUAGCGGGCAAAUAUGCGGGUGACCGCAAAACAGAGACGCUGCGACCGGAAAUC
rnacentral:ncRNA from 2 species